CAGUCGCCGCGGUAAUACGGAGGGUGCAAGCGUUAUCCGGAUUUAUUGGGUUUAAAGGGUCCGUAUGCGGACUUAUAAGUCAGUGGUGAAAGCCUGUCGCUUAACGAUAGAACUGCCAUUGAUACUGUAAGUCUUGAGUAUAUUUGAGGUAGCUGGAAUAAGUAGUGUAGCGGUGAAAUGCAUAGAUAUUACUUAGAACACCAAUUGCGAAGGCAGGUUACCAAGAUAUAACUGACGCUGAGGGACGAAAGCGUGGGUAGCGAACAGGAUUAGAUACCCCCGUAGUCCCUGUCUCUUAUAU
rnacentral:rRNA from 1 species